AUAUCGCGAGGUGUCAGCAGCCGCGGUAAUACGUAGGUGGCAAGCGUUGUCCGGAAUUACUGGGUGUAAAGGGAGCGUAGGCGGGGAGACAAGUUGUAAUGUUUAAACUAUCGGCUCAACUGAUAGUCGCGUUCAAAACUAUCACUCUUGAGUGCAGUAGAGGUAGGCGGAAUUCCUAGUGUAGCGGUGAAAUGCGUAGAUAUUAGGAGGAACACCAGUGGCGAAGGCGGCUUACUGGACGGUAACUGACGUUGAGGCUCGAAAAGCGUGGGGGAGCAAACAGGAUUAGAUACCCCUGGUAGUCCACGCCGUAAACGAUGAAUACUAGGUGUCUGGGGGGCAAAGCCCUUAGGUGCCGCCGCAAACGCAUUAAGUAUUCCACCUGGGGAGUACGUUCGCAAGAAUG
rnacentral:rRNA from 1 species